rnacentral:rRNA from 1 species
UGGGGAAUAUUGGACAAUGGGCGAAAGCCUGAUCCAGCCAUGCCGCGUGUGUGAAGAAGGUCUUCGGAUUGUAAAGCACUUUAAGUUGGGAGGAAGGGCAUUAACCUAAUACGUUAGUGUUUUGACGUUACCGACAGAAUAAGCACCGGCUAACUCUGUGCCAGCAGCCGCGGUAAUACAGAGGGUGCAAGCGUUAAUCGGAAUUACUGGGCGUAAAGCGCGCGUAGGUGGUGUGUUAAGUUGGAUGUGAAAUCCCCGGGCUCAACCUGGGAACUGCAUUCAAAACUGACUGACUAGAGUAUGGUAGAGGGUGGUGGAAUUUCCUGUGUAGCGGUGAAAUGCGUAGAUAUAGGAAGGAACACCAGGGGCGAAGGCGACCACCUGGACUAAUACUGACACUGAGGUGCGAAAGCGUGGGGAGCAAACA